GCAGCACCCUGAGUCGGCUUCUUAGGGGUAAAGAAAAGAAAAGAAAAGAAAAGAAUCGAUGUUGUAAUAUUAUGUUUAGAAAUCGAUUGUAUAUUUGGAAAUUGAGGAUCAAUGUAAUGAAAAAUGCGCUGUAAAAUGAUGAGAUGAAUGAUUGUAAUAACAUAAGAUGUGUUAUGUUGUUUGAUACCUUCCUUAUGCAAUCGUUGUUGAAAAUUGUUCCUGUUUGGAA
rnacentral:lncRNA from 1 species